UAAAACCGGGGCUAAUACCGGAUAACAUUUUGAACCGCAUGGUUCGAAAUUGAAAGGCGGCUUCGGCUGUCACUUAUGGAUGGACCCGCGUCGCAUUAGCUAGUUGGUGAGGUAACGGCUCACCAAGGCAACGAUGCGUAGCCGACCUGAGAGGGUGAUCGGCCACACUGGGACUGAGACACGGCCCAGACUCCUACGGGAGGCAGCAGUAGGGAAUCUUCCGCAAUGGACGAAAGUCUGACGGAGCAACGCCGCGUGAGUGAUGAAGGCUUUCGGGUCGUAAAACUCUGUUGUUAGGGAAGAACAAGUGCUAGUUGAAUAAGCUGGCACCUUGACGGUACCUAACCAGAAAGCCACGGCUAACUACGUGCCAGCAGCCGCGGUAAUACGUAGGUGGCAAGCGUUAUCCGGAAUUAUUGGGCGUAAAGCGCGCGCAGGUGGUUUCUUAAGUCUGAUGUGAAAGCCCACGGCUCAACCGUGGAGGGUCAUUGGAAACUGGGAGACUUGAGUGCAGAAGAGGAAAGUGGAAUUCCAUGUGUAGCGGUGAAAUGCGUANAGAUAUGGAGGAACACCAGUGGCGAAGGCGACUUUCUGGUCUGUAACUGACACUGAGGCGCGAAAGCGUGGGGAGCAAACAGGGAUUAGAUACCCUGGUAGUCCACGCCGUAAACGAUGAGUGCUAAGUGUUA
rnacentral:rRNA from 1 species